AGGACGAACGCUGGCGGCGUGCUUAACACAUGCAAGUUGAGCGGAAAGGCCCUUUUGGGGGUACUCGAGCGGCGAACGGGUGGGUAACACGUGAGUAACCUGCCCUGGACUUUGGGAUAACCCUCGGAAACGGGGGCUAAUACCGGAUAUGACACGCUCUCGCAUGGGAUGUGUGUGGAAAGUUUUUCGGUCUGGGAUGGGCUCGCGGCCUAUCAGCUUGUUGGUGGGGUGAUGGCCUACCAAGGCGACGACGGGU
rnacentral:rRNA from 1 species